CAGUAGCCACGGGAAUACGGAGGGUGCAAGCGUUAAUCGGAAUUACUGGGCGUAAAGCGCACGCAGGCGGUCUGUCAAGUCAGAUGUAAAAUCCCCGGGCUUAACCUGGGAACUGCAUUUGAAACUGGCAGGCUAGAGUCUUGUAGAGGGGGGUAGAAUUCCAGGUGUAGCGGUGAAAUGCGUAGAGAUCUGGAGGAAUACCGGUGGCGAAGGCGGCCCCCUGGACAAAGACUGACGCUCAGGUGCGAAAGCGUGGGGAGCAAACAGGAUUAGAUACCCCUGUAGUCCCUGUCUCUUAUAC
rnacentral:rRNA from 1 species